ACGGCUGCCGACACACAGUGAAAUCAGUAAAAUCUUGCCCGAUUUGGACUGCAAACUGCCAACGGUCGCCCCGCGUCCCGUGACCAACCAGGACUGCUGCCCCAUUUGCCUGGAGCCGCUUCUACAGAAACCCUUUCCAGUUUCCCACUGCCGACACAGCUGUGGAAAUCACGUUCACAUUCGCUGCCUGCAAAUCUGGGCCAAGUACAAUAUUACAGAAGCCUCGGAUGGACUUUCAAAGACCAUCAAGUGUCCAGUGUGCAGGGGUGUUUUCAACUACGAGGCAGACAUGCAGUCCGAGUUCCGAAACGCACCGCGUUCGAGGCCCCGGGCGACGCUGCCCCCUCUUCCAGCAGCCCCUCCUGAUCGUGAG